CCUACGGGAGGCUGCAGUGGGGAAUAUUGGACAAUGGGCGAAAGCCUGAUCCAGCCAUGCCGCGUGUGUGAAGAAGGCCUUCGGGUUGUAAAGCACUUUCAGUGGGGAAGAAAGCCUUGGGGCUAAUACCCUCGAGGAAGGACAUCACCCACAGAAGAAGCACCGGCUGAACUCCGUGCCAGCAGCCGCGGUAAUACGGAGGGUGCGAGCGUUAAUCGGAAUUACUGGGCGUAAAGCGCGCGUAGGCGGUCUGAUAAGCCGGUUGUGAAAGCCCCGGGCUCAACCUGGGAACGGCAUCCGGAACUGUCAGGCUAGAGUGCAGGAGAGGAAGGUAGAAUUCCCGGUGUAGCGGUGAAAUGCGUAGAGAUCGGGAGGAAUACCAGUGGCGAAGGCGGCCUUCUGGACUGACACUGACGCUGAGGUGCGAAAGCGUGGGUAGCAAACAGGAUUAGAUACCCCGGUAGUC
rnacentral:rRNA from 1 species